GCACUUUAAGCAGUGAAGAAGACUCUAUGGUUAAUACCCAUAGACGAUGACAUUAGCUGCAGAAUAAGCACCGGCUAACUCUGUGCCAGCAGCCGCGGUAAUACAGAGGGUGCAAGCGUUAAUCGGAAUUACUGGGCGUAAAGCGAGCGUAGGUGGCUUGAUAAGUCAGAUGUGAAAGCCCCGGGCUUAACCUGGGAACGGCAUCUGAUACUGUUAGGCUAGAGUAGGAGAGAGGAAGGUAGAAUUCCAGGUGUAGCGGUGAAAUGCGUAGAGAUCUGGAGGAAUACCGAUGGCGAAGGCAGCCUUCUGGCAUCAUACUGACACUGAGGUUCGAAAGCGUGGGUAGCAAACAGGAUUAGAUACCCUGGUAGUCCACGCCGUAAACGAUGUCUACUAGUCGUUGG
rnacentral:rRNA from 1 species